GGGUCAGUAGGUUGGUCGUGCCACCGGUACGUACUGGUCUCACUGAUUCCUCCUUCCUGAAGAACCGUAAUGCCAUUAAUUUGGUGUUGCGGGGAAACAGGACUGUUACUUUGAAAAAAUUAGAGUGUUUAAAGCAAGCUAACGCCUGAAUACAUUAGCAUGGAAUAAUGAAAUAGGACGAUCGAUCCUAUUUUGUUGGUUUCUAGGAUUGACGCA
rnacentral:rRNA from 1 species